rnacentral:rRNA from 1 species
AUUGAACGCUGGCGGCAGGCUUAACACAUGCAAGUCGAGCGGAGAUGAGGUGCUUGCACCUUAUCUUAGCGGCGGACGGGUGAGUAAUACUUAGGAAUCUGCCUAUUAGUGGGGGACAACAUUCCGAAAGGAAUGCUAAUACCGCAUACGUCCUACGGGCGAAAGCAGGGGAUCUUCGGACCUUGCGCUAAUAGAUGAGCCUAAGUCGGAUUAGCUAGUUGGUGGGGUAAAGGCCUACCAAGGCGACGAUCUGUAGCGGGUCUGAGAGGAUGGUCCGCCACACUGGGACUGAGACACGGCCCAGACUCCUACGGGAGGCAGCAGUGGGGAAUAUUGGACAAUGGGGGAAACCCUGAUCCAGCCAUGCCGCGUGUGUGAAGAAGGCCUUAUGGUUGUAAAGCACUUUAAGCGAGGAGGAGGCUACUGAGACUAAUACUCUUGGAUAGUGGGCGUUACUCGCAGAAUAAGCACCGGCUAACUCUGUGCCAGCCGCCGCGGUAA